rnacentral:misc_RNA from 1 species
CAGAGUUCAUGCCCUCACGGGUAGAUCUCCCACCCUAUGUUAUCGUUACCUUUGUUGCUUUGGCGGGCCGUCAGGCCUCGGUCAGGCUACCGGCUUCAGCUGGUAAGCGCCCGCCAGAGGACCCCAAACUCUGAAUAUUAGUGUCGUCUGAGUACUAUAUAAUAGUUA